rnacentral:lncRNA from 1 species
UACAAGCCUUCCUGACUCGGCUUGACCCAGCUUGACACGGCUAGUGCUAAGUUAAGCUCCAAAUUAGACGUCUUCUGUAUAGCUUAUAUGUCUAGUCUUGAAGACUUCUGCUGUAAGACCUGGUGGAGACGUACAGGCUCUGGUACACGUUUUUAAAGUCAAUCUCCAAGUCUUGCAAGCAAAACUUGCGCACAUUUUUACUACCAGCUUGCAACGAUUCCUUCGACAGCACCAUCAGUGGAAUGAUUACAUCGUUAUGGUAUCGUCAUAUAACAGCUCUCCGCACAAAACAGUGUAUUACCAGCGUACUGCAAGGUUUAUGCUCGAGUCGAUUUCGCAUAGGCCGCUAGUUAGACGGUUACAGCGCGCGUACCAAGUAUCAGCCAUUGAGGAAGGUACCUUCCUCCAUGGCCAAUUCAAACCUACCGCGUCAGCUCAAACUGAAAGCCGCGCCAUAGUUUCGUGUGCCCGUGAUGGCAAUACAACAAAACCUUUCAAUAAAAUGUGUGCCGUUAUUACACAAUUCGUAAAAGCUUUAAUAAAACAUUUUGAACGAAGUUUCACAGGCUAGUAUAACAUGGUGCGGCACAACAGUUGGUGCGCUACUAUGGCUUGGCCGCUUCCAACGCUAGCUCCCGCGCCUGCCAUGCUGCCGUUGCCGUGCAUUGUCUCCGUUCGCGCUUGCAGUGUCGCGCAUGGCCGCGCGCCCGCACUUUGCAAAGAAUUCAACGGGUCGCUUUCGUGCGCACAUCGCAUUCUCUGUGUGUUCCUGCGUUGAUGGCUCAGCUUCGUUUUGGUGCUUUCAGACAUUCACGUACUAAUCACAGACAUGGGAAGACUAUAAGACGUCAAGAUGAAAGGCUCCUAGCAGCUCUCAGUGUUCCCAACGAAACUGGCAGAAUGGCAGUGGCUGAUUACAAGCUGCCUUUGGUGAACAAAAAAAAACGUGACCACAUUAGAAUCCGAGCAGAGCUCCAAUCCUGCAUUCUGAUGACACCUUACACAACGGCUCUCUCUUAUGGGGAGCUGGUACUUAAGAAGCUUUACUGCGGGCAUCCUACCCACUAUUUUCAGACUGUUUUGGUGGAAACUUAAGCUAGACUCUAGGCCAGCGGCGGAAAAAGAGCUUCAGGGACGUGCAUGUCUACAGUGUCAUGGAAGAAGCUAUUCAUAGCAAUACCACGUGGGAAAAUGUGAUGACCGAUGCCAUUCGCCAAGCAGCAACUGCCUGGUUGAAGAAUUGCAGUUUGCGAGCGGAUAAAAAGCCAGCACGUUACGUUAAGCUUAGUGUUCAGAUGCAUCAAAGGAUACUGGGCCUGCCGCCAGCUGACAUGCCUUUCUUCCUCC